UGGUAUAUACACUAUACACUAUUCAGUAUUCACUGUAUAUUAAUUUAUAAAAGAAAACACCGGUUUGAAUUAUAGUUUAUAGUUUGUCAUAAUUAAUAAUAAAAGAACUUUCAAGUAGAAUAACGCUAUAUUUGUAAUCAUAUAAGUUAUGACAAGCAUGGAGAGACUUCAACAAUUACUUGAUCUUGGCACAGGGCACAAACAUGUAGUCGAUGAUCUUUUCAAAACAGUCGACGAUUCGUUGAAAGUUUAUAGACGAGUAGGAGUUUUUGAAAUUCUUGAACAACCCGAUGAACAAAGAUCUACUGAUAGUUUUCAAUGCAAUGUGAAUGGUUGUACUUCAUAUUUCACAUCGAUACCUGAUUACGAUUUACAUUAUAAUGCAAAUCAUCGUUACACUUGCAUUAUCUGUCGUAAGCUCUUACAAUCGGCACAUCUCUUGGAUUUACAUGUGAGCGAAACACAUGAUAACUUUUUUGAAGCCUCCUGUGUUAAAAAACCAAUGUUCAAAUGUUUCAUUGAAACAUGUCCAACACAGUUUUGGGAUUGUGAAACACGAAAUAUUCACUGUAAAGAAAUUCAUAAUAUCUCAAAGAAUUUCUUGCAGCAUUAUGGAAAUAAGAAAAAUAAGAAAAAUAAGAAGAAAAUUAAAUAUACUUCGCCGCCAGAUCUAGAAACUAUGGUAGAGUCAAGCAUGGCUAUAAAUUAAUUUAAUGUGAUCUAUGCAGCAAUGUAUGGACUAUUCAAUUUUUUUGAAACUAAGUGACAUGUCGUUAAAUGAGCUGCCUUUUCUAUACACUCAACCAUAGAUUCUACUAGUGGUUACGGGCCUAAUUGCAUGCGCUCUACCACGUUAUUACAAUGAUGGUAUUUAAUGCACAUACUCAAUGCGUCAUAAGUUGGAAGGUUUAUGGAGGACUCUGAGGCUAAAAAUUGUGAACAAAUAUGUGUGGUACAAUUUCCGAUAUGCUUCCAAUGUAUAAUAUUGCAUAAUAAUAGAAUUUUAUAUAUUUAUAAAUUAGUCCACUAUCUACUACCAUCCCGUCAUAUUAUUAUUAAAUAACUUCCUCAAUCAAGUCAACCAUGACCGAUGACCUGCUAUAUAUCCCUCUAUUGUGCUUAUUGUGAAUAUUUUUAUGCAGAUUAUACAAAUUAAAUAAAUGUGUCAAAAAAAAAAAUAUUUUAUAAAUAUAAUUAACUAUUGCAGGUAUUUUAUUUAGACAAGGUGAAAAGAAAUCAAUUAAAGGGACACAUGCUAUGCUUUAUUAGGGGACAUGGCACCAAUAUUUUAAUUUUUCAUUUCUAAUUAUUAAUUAAAAGAAGAACAUUUAAUAGUGUAUAUUUGUAAGUGAUAAAUAACUAGACAAUGACAAUAACACUGUUGAUAAUAUAAUACAUUACCUAUUUUAUAGUAACUUUUAGUCUUAUUUAUUUUGUCAUUAAAAUCACUCUUACAUCAUCUACUUCUUACAAGAAUAUAAUAUUAUUUAAAUACUGUCAUAGAGUGAUAAUACUACAAGAUAGCAGUGUUAAAUUUAACAAAAUUUGAUUUUAAAUGUCAAGCUUAAAUACUUGAAAACAAAUGGCUCACGUUUUUUUUUUAAAUUUGUUUUUGUUUAUGAAGAAUAGUAUAAUACUCAAUGUUCUUGUUCAAAAUCUUCAUUUUCUGGUUACAAUCUACAAUAUGAUUAGGAAUUUGUGGUAAGAAACUUUCACAUAGUCCAGGAAACUGUUUUAAUUUAAUAAUGGUUAAUUUGUUCAUCCAAUCCAGCCAACAUACACACGGUAAUGUUUUAAUGGCCUCAAAAACAAAGAAACUUUUAGGAUAGUGUGAUCAAACCAAUUAUCCUAUUAUUUAUUUACACUUAAAUCCAAUACUAUCUAAAAUUGAAAAAGUUUCACAUUUAAAUUAAUUAAAAUUUACAGCUAUUUGGAUACAUUUU